UACAGAGACUGCAAGCGUUAUUCGGAUUCACUGGGCGUAAAGGGUGCGCAGGCGGCCAAGUGUGUGAGGCGUGAAAGCCCGGGGCUUAACCCCGGAAUUGCACCUCAAACUACAUGGCUAGAGCAUUGGAGAGGGUAGCGGAAUUCACGGUGUAGCAGUGAAAUGCGUAGAUAUCGUGAGGAACACCAGAGGCGAAGGCGGCUACCUGGACAAUUGCUGACGCUCAGGCACGAAAGCGUGGGAGCAAAAGGG
rnacentral:rRNA from 1 species